CAGUCGCCGCGGUAAUACAGAGGGUGCGAGCGUUAAUCGGAUUUACUGGGCGUAAAGCGUGCGUAGGCGGCUAAUUGAGUCGGAUGUGAAAUCCCCGAGCUUAACUUGGGAAUUGCAUUCGAUACUGGUUAGCUAGAGUGUGGGAGAGGAUGGUAGAAUUCCAGGUGUAGCGGUGAAAUGCGUAGAGAUCUGGAGGAAUACCGAUGGCGAAGGCAGCCAUCUGGCCUAACACUGACGCUGAGGUACGAAAGCGUGGGGAGCAAACAGGAUUAGAUACCCCAGUAGUCCCUGUCUCUUAUAC
rnacentral:rRNA from 1 species